UGGGCAACAGCAACGAAACUCCGUCUCAAAAAAAAAAAAAAAUUACAGUCAUCUCCCAGAAAAAUCAAGAAGGAAGAACCUUGGAGGUUCAACCUAUAGAAGAUAUGUUCUCAUGGAAUAAACCAAAAAUAAUUUUUAUUUUCUAAAAAAUCAAGAACAGAAGUCUCUCAACAUUUAAGUUUUACAAACAAAUAGAAUCUGAGCCACUGGGUUAAACAUGACAAACGACACACAGUAACAAAUAUUGAAGACAUCAUAAUGCCAAAGCAACAGAAGCAGCACCAGAAAUGUUGCUGAGGCCACCAUUUAAUUAACGCAAGUUGAACAUAUGGCUUUGGUUACAUGUGGUUCCAGGCCAGAGGCAUGGAAGUCAGUGUUUGUGGGAAAGCCAGGAGGAAAAGCUCCUCUCCCCACCUCCACCUUGUCACUCCAGGUUCUGGUGACCCCAUCUCGGGACACGGCCUCCCAUUUCACUCCUGCACCAACCCCACUCUUGUAACACUGCACAUGCAAGAUGUGAGCAUCUUCAAAGUACGAAUAUUGCCUUCUUCAUUUUAGAAUCCAUGAUGUGCUUGUGGGGAGAAUGAAUGAAUGCUCAAACAUGAAUGGAGAGAGACAGAGAGGAAGUGCAGGUCUAACCAAGGAAACCUUCUUUCCUAGAAAAUCGUUGAUGAGCCCGGAAAGAGUUGGCUGAACAACGGUAACAAUUCUUUUAUUAUUAUUUAACUUAUUAAGUUAUUAGAAAAAGUAAAAGAGUGAGUCGAGGUUUUUGGAUUGGAAGUAGGGACCCACUGAGUUCCCUCCAGGAUUGUGGAGUUUCUUUUACAGCCACAUGUGGAUAAGAAACUAAGGGCCACAGACCAAAUGACAGGUCGGAUGGCAACCCUGGAAAAGUCACACAGCUCAGCCUGUUGGAGGAAGAGGAGCAGUAGAACCUGUGUGGAGCCUGACAGAACCCAAGAUGCCAUUCACGAACCGAGAGGUCUUUCAAGAUCACACACAGUUCUACGACACAGACAUUUCGUCUUCUUGCCACUCAGUAGCGGGGCCCAUCCCUCUGUGCCUCCAAGGUCCGUGUGCCAUGUGGAAAACUCAGGUGUUCUGUCUCUGCCAGGACCUUCUUCCUGCUGCUUAUUUAAGUGUCUGCUGCUUCGGGGCCUCAGGUGCCUGCUUUAUCUCUUUCUCCUUUACUAUCAAGUCUUUAAGCAAUUUGCCAAGACGGAGAAUCUCACUGGCCUGGUGGGGCUGAGCCUUCCUUCACUGGCUGACCAACUGGGAAGUGGGCUGCUGCCUAGAUCAGGAGAAAGAAUUGUGCCAUGAAAAAUGGAAAACUCCUGAGAAGCUGUUCCAGCGUCAGGAGAGCAGCAGACAAGCUGGACUGGGGAAGAUUCUUCCUGCAAGACCUGCAGAGUGUAUGACACAUAACCAGCACCCAAGAAAUGUCUACCGAGGAAUUAAUGAAUGAGGAAAUACCUCUGUACACUCACCAGACACUGGCUGCUGGUUGUCACGGUGCUAAGAGCUGUGGGAAACAUGAAGAGCAAUGAGACCAGGUCCCUGCUCUGAGGAGACGUGUGCCAGCGAAGUUUCUCUCCCACGUGAGUGUGCUACAAGAAAAUCUGAACCCGAGAAUCUGAUUCAGUAGGUCUGCACUUUCUCCACUUUGCCAGAUAAUUCUGAUUGAGACCGUCAAGGCUGUGACUAGUGGGGAGGCAGUAGAGUAUUUUCUGUGCUAGACUGAGGCAGCCCUGAAGCACUGCGCAAGCACAUGGAAAAGAGAAACGAGAUUGGGCCGGGCACGGUGGCUCAUGCCUGGAAUCUUUGGGAGGCCACGGAUCACUUGAGGACAGGGGUUUGAGACCAGCUUGGCCAACAUGGUGAAACCUUGUCCCUACUAAAAAUACAAAAAUUAGCAGGGAGUGGUGGUGCACACCUGUAAUCCCAGCUACUCUGGAGGCUGAGGCAAAAGAAUCGCUUGAACCCGGGAGGUGGAGGUUGCAGUGAGCUGAGAUUGGACCACUGCCCUCCAGCCUGGGUGAUAGAGUGAGACUCCAUCUCUAAAUAAAUAAAUACAAAUAAAAGAAAGACAAGAUUGGUCUAAC
rnacentral:lncRNA from 1 species